rnacentral:rRNA from 1 species
AGCGAACGCUGGCGGCAGGCCUAACACAUGCAAGUCGAACGAAGCCUUCGGGCUUAGUGGCGGACGGGUGAGUAACACGUGGGAACGUACCUUUUGGUUCGGAAUAACGCAGAGAAAUUUGCGCUAAUACCGAAUGAGCCCUUCGGGGGAAAGAUUUAUCGCCGAAAGAUCGGCCCGCGUUGGAUUAGGUGUUUGGGUUGGUAAAGGCGCCCCAAGCCGACGAUCCUUAGCUGGUCUGAUAGGAUGAUCAGCCACACUGGGACUGAGACACGGCCCAGACUCGUACGGGAGGCAGCAGUGGGGAAUCUUGCGCAAUGGGCGAAAGCCUGACGCAGCCAUGCCGCGUGAGUGAUGAAGGCCUUAGGGUUGUAAAGCUCUUUCACCCGUGACGAUAAUGACGUUAACGGGAGAAGAAGCCCCGGCUAACUUCGUGCCAGCCGCCGCCGUAAUAC